AAUGUAGAAUGGCGAAAGCGACAACAUUUAACCAGGAGAUCGGUUCCUAUUGCUUUAAGUUGUCAACAUAUUUUAAGCAAACAUCUGCACGUUAUAAUUUGCCGAAAUCACCGAAGCGAAUCGCCGUUCUUUGAAGUUCCCUUCAUCGGUAUUGUUUCUUAUGAAGUGGAAAUUAGUCAGGGAACAUAAGAGUGGCUGGUUAAAUAUGCAGCGACAUUAAAAUAAUAUCUGGAGUAAUUUACUUAUCCGUUUCUGGAUUAAGUAUUGUGCGACACCUCUCUCUCUCCCGUAUUUAAUCAUUCUGUCACACCACUCUUCACUAUAGACGGAGAAUGUUGAUUACUUCAGUGGCACGGCAUCUCCUAGUUACCAGAUAUCCGAUGUACUGCAGGAACCACUCAAGACUGUGUAUCGAAGGAUUAACAUGCGCAUGUUGCUGCUGAUGUUGAUGUGUAUCGUACUCCCCGUGUGGAUUGUUAACAGUGAUCACCAGAAAGAAUAUCCCAAACAAAGAUUCAGAGGUCGUACUUCACACAUUUACCAAGAUAUCACAAAUUUAACUUUAAAAUUUCUUCACCAAAAGACAGCAACCACAAAUACACCGACGACUUCUCCACCGAGAAAAAAAAUCAAAGGCCUCAUCGUGCGCCUAGAGGAAGAUAUAAUGAUAAUCAAGAUAUGCCAAUAUUUCCAAUUCCAAACGACACCGUCCUGGUUUCAGCGAUAUUUUUGUGUUCGACAUUUCAGACCAAUUUGGUGACGACAGCCUUAGAUUAGAGUUCUUUAUGGUCGCAUCACGAUUUCCAGUAAUUGUUUUGCAAAAGUAAUGUUAAUGACUGCGGUAGGCGGUGUAUUGAAAGUAUGUACCAUGUACAAAAAUGCAUAAUUAACUUUUUGACAUUUUGUGAUUGUGUCAGUGUUUUUACGCAUGAUUGAAGCAAAAUGAAACUGUUGAAGGUGUGGUGUUUAUUAUUUAUGGAAUGUAUACCUCUGUGAAAUAGCUCAGGUGAAAAUGCAUGAAAGUGUUUUUCUGUUUCAUACAAAACUGUAUUAUUAUGUAAUAAAUGUUUGACUGGUCAUUCACCUUUCAAGGUUACUUUUAUCUACCCUGUUUCGUAAUUUAGCUUCAUGCUAUAAUGAUAUUUCAUUUAAUUGCUUCAAAUUAAUAUGUUUUGAAUUGUGCAUGAUGCUCUUCGUAUUUUCGUUUUAAAAUAAAGAAAUGAAUACGUUCGGCAUAUUACUAA